rnacentral:tRNA from 1 species
UCCCUGAUGGUCUAGUGGUUAGGAUAUGGUGCUUUCACCCCUGUGACCCAGGUUCAACCCCUGGUUUGAGAA